rnacentral:tRNA from 1 species
GCUCCAGUGGCGCAAUCGGUUAGCGAGCCGUACUUAAAUAACAGUAUCGGAGACAUGCGGAGGUUGUGAGUUCGAGCCUCACCUGGAGCA